UACACACUUUUUCUGAGUUGUUUAUACUCCCUACAAAUACUUAAAUAGCUAUUGUUCUGUGUCUGUGUUUAGGGGAACUCUUGUUGCUGUUACCACACAUCAUUGAUCAGGCUUCAGCUGACAAAAUCCUCAGUAUUGCGAAGAAAGCUUAUACCUGAUUGAAGGGAAAACUUCUGAUCCCCGAACUCACAGAAUCUCUGGGAAAGCAGUAAGAUAUGAAAUGGUACUGUACUGUGAUGAAGAGCUGCUGAUUUGAGGUUACACUGAUACAAACAUGGAGAAAAUGAAGAGUUGUUUCCAAAAAGCUAAAGCAGGACAGACAAAAGCAUUGAAUGACUGUAACUGUCCAGGUCAUCCACGUGUUUGGACAGCUGAGUGCAAACGCAUGAGGAUGUGGACUUCUUAUGUCUUCCUCAUUGGACCUCACAAUCGGACUGAUUUUUGUUUUGGUUAAACUGGUUUUCAAUAGUAAAUAUGAACCUGUCAUCCAGGUUUUCAGCUUCAAGUGAACAUGGCUUUGUCUUGUUUAAAACUACAGUGCAUCUGCCAGAGAAAGUCUGUGUCAAAGUUUCCUCGAACUCAAUGACAGUACAAUCAAGCUUUUCACAAAUAUAAUCAAAACAUUUACAACAUGAGAAACAGAGCUACAUGUUACAGCAUUGACUUCAGCAGUCUGCUCUUUUUCCCCCUAGCUACCUCAGUUUCUCCUCUGUUAAUCACUAGUAUUUCUAAGCCAGACUAAAGCUUAGAUUUAUGGUUGUCAUAGUAGCCCAUGGCACUAAUUAGUUUUAUCUGAACCUAGACAACUCAUUUCUUCUCCACCUGCAGAAUCUUCAUACCUGAGGCGAUGCCUUCUGCUUUUUCUGAGGGAUCUAUAUCAAAACACUCAGCUAAGUCCACCGUUCCUUUCUUCACUUCAGACCUGAGGUCAUCUGUCAUCCUUAUAUUUCCUAACAAGCCUGGCAUUAACCAGGUACUUCUUGACAGUUGACUUUACAUUGCCUUUCCAGGACUGCUAGGCUAGACCCAGCCAAGCGCUCUAGGUUCUCUUCAAAGCCCUGGUCACUUGUUUACACAGGGGAUUAAACUAUGCUAAAAUUAUCAUCAUUAGUUUUUUUUUUUUUUUUUUUAAGGUGAGAAAUUCACAUUUGUAGAAUGCCUCAUCACCUUUCUCAGUUUUCACAUAAAGUUCAUGAUAUUAUAUGCUAGUAUUAAUAUUUGAAGAAAGUAUGCAUAAUUUAUGAGCAAUUAGCCUAUAAGUGAUUCCUGCUAUAACGAUGAAAAAAAUCACUGUAUUUUUGUAAAAAGCUAAAACUUUUCUUGUUCUCUUUCCAUUAAGACAAUUAAAUAUGAAUUGCCACAGGAACCUAAAGCUCUCCAUCAUUAACAUGAACAGUUUUUGGCUAUUUUCUGUACUUUUAGAAACUACUCUGAGGAAAUAAAUGAGGAAAAACUAUCUCAC